ACAUAACGAUUGUAAUAAACAUAACGAAUGUAAUAGUAGCUACAUAGGGAAAGACUUAUCCAAUCCCAUUUGUGACAAGUUAACCGAUUUUAUUUACACUAGCAACAACGAAAUAACACAUAAUAGUAUUACUCCCACAAAUUCAACAAACAAAUUAUUUUCCCAAAAAAAAAAUAAUUUCCAAAAAAUAUAUAAAACUGAGGUGAAUAAAAUAAAACGUAAAAAAUUAGCAACAAAAUGUGCUAUUGCACAUAUCGAAAAAAAAAUAAAUAACAUUCAGAGUAAAAACAAAAAAUUAAAUACCUUACUCUGGGAAAAAAAAAAAAAAAAAAAAAGUUCAAAAACGGAAAGAGAAAUAGAUAUAAUACAAAAUUUUAUGUUAAAAAUGGCACAAUAUGAAGAUAAAAAAAAAAAAAAAUUGGAAAGAUAUAAAAACAAAAUUCAAAAAAUUAAUAUAUACAAACAAGUACUACAUGCACAUUGGAAACAUAAAAAUCGUUUAUUAGUGUUAAAAAAAAAUGAAGAGCAAAAAAAAUAUAACAAUUACUCAAGCUUGUCAUCAUUUUUGUCAUACAGUGGAAAUAUAGACAUAAUGGAUAAUAAAAAAAAUCGCCUUGAUAAUUUGUUACACAAUGAAAAAAAAAUAAAAAAUUAUCCACAUGUAUUACAAGUAGAAAAAACAAAUUUCGAAGAUAAUGUAGAAAAUAUUUUUAAAAAAAAAUUACAAACAUUUAAAAAAAACAAACAUGUACAGCUGUCUGGCGAUAAUACAGAAAGUGAAGAAGAAAAAAAAAAAAAAAAAAAAAAAAAAAAAAAAAAANNNNNNNNNNNNNNNNNNNNNNNNNNNNNNNNNNNNNNNNNNNNNNNNNNNNNNNNNNNNNNNNNNNNNNNNNNNNNNNNNNNNNNNNNNNNNNNNNNNNAAAAAAAAAAAAAAAAAAAAAAAAAAAAAAAAAAAAAAAAAAAGUAUGUACACAGUGUUGAAUCAUCCGAAUUGUCUGUCACUAAAAAUGCAAAAAAAAAAAAUUAUACUGACAAAACGGACAACAAUUCUUCAAACAUUCUUUUAAAUUUGUUCGAAGAAUUACAAAAAAAUAAAGGCCAAAAAGAGAGAGGCCAAAAAGAGCGAGACCAAAAAAAACAUUUUGUACCAUUUUGUGACAACACAUUUAACAGUAUUAACAUAGAUAAAAAAAAAAAAAAAAAAAAAAUUACUAAAGACAAAAGUUACAAUAAUAGUAACAGUUCUGUAAAUAUCACACAAAAAAAAAAACAACAGUGUGCUUUGAAUUAUAAUAAAUUGUUUGCUGAUACAUUAAUUCGCAUUAAGAGCAACAAAAAAAACAAAAUAGACAAUUCUUCAUAUAAUUCCUAUAUUUCAGAUUACAAGAAUAAAAAAUUAAAUAAAAGUUUUUCAACAAUAGAUCAUAACAGUAAUAAUUAUAAAACACAUAAAAAAAAUAGUAACUUUUUAAAUAAAACUUGUGUAAGUGAAAAAAACAAAGAGGUUACUAAUAAAUGUACAUGCAAUAAUAAUAGUGCACACCUUAAUAAGCGUACGUCCAAUAUCAUAAAAUCAAAUAAAGAAAACGAAAAUAACAACUAUAAUUUAUCAGUCAGUUUAAAAAAUAACUAUUGUAAUAAGACUUACACACCAACAAAGACAAAAGGUAAUAACAAAAAAGUAAAUAUAAAUGUGAGAAACUACAACGACCUGAAUGGUUUUUGUAAAAAUAAACAACAUACAUCUUCAUCACCAUUCAUAAGUCAAAAAGCAAAACCGGUACAAAAUAAAAUAACAAUACAAAAAACUACAUCACCCAAUUUUAAAAUAAAAUUAAACGUGGCACCAUAUUUAAAUAAUAAAGCAGAAAGAAAAAGUAAUACAGAAAGAAAAAGUAAUACAGAAAAAAAAAAUAAUACAGAAAAAAAAAAUAUACAACAAACAAAUACAGAACAAACAAAUACAGAACAAAUUUCUUGCAAACCGAUACGACACAAAAGAAAUAAAACUAUUAGCUCACAUAUAAAAAACGUAAGAGCUAUUAAAAAUAGUAAAGACAUAACAAAAUCAAAUUUAAUUAGAAAAAUCGAAGUUACAUGCAAAAUGGAGGAUAAAAACAAAUUUGUAAGAAAUUAUAUUCCUUUAAAAGGGUAUAAAAAUUAUAACAUAAACAAUGUCAACACAAAUGAAAUAGAUUAUUAUACUUUUAAAAAUAAAAAUGAAAAAAAAAAUAUAUUUCAAAGGGAAAACAUGAAAUUUAUACCAUUAAAUAAUAUGAACAAUACUACUAAUACCAAAUAUUAUAAUAAUAAAUUAUGUUAUGUACCUCCUAAUAAUAUAUACCAAGCAGUAAAUAAUGUUCCAACACCGUUACCUUUAAAUGCAUCUACUGAAAGAAUGUUUAUGCCAUAUGGAUAUAAUAACAAUAUAAAUAAUUAUUCUAAUGACUAUGACAAUAACAAAAAAAAAACAUGUAAGGAGGAUAUUAACUUUUUUUAUAAAAAUAAAAAUUAUAAUAAUAUAAAAAAAGAACAAAUAGGAGAUAAUGAUAAAUGUUAUUUUGAUGAUGACUAUAAAGUAUUAAAUGACAUUUGUAAGCGACAAAUAAAAAACAAAAAACGUAACACAACAUAUGAUCAUAAUUUAAAACAAAAAAAAAAUACAGAAUUAGAUUAUAACAAUUGUACUAAUAGUACAAAUAAAAUAUACAUAAAAACCACUGUUAACAAACCAAACGAAAUGAAUAUACCUUGUAUUAAUUAUGACACAGAUAAUUAUAAUUUUAAAGUAGGUUGGUGGAACAUAAGACCACAGUCUAAUAUAAUUUCAGGUAUACAUAAGUAUACAGAAAAUAUAAAAUAUCAAUAUAAUAAAAAUCGAAAUAAUUGUAAAAACAGAAAUUAUAGUUCAUUUAAUAAUGAUUAUUUUAAUUGUAAUUUACCUAAUAAAUAUAUGUACUCAACUAUAACUAAUCGAAAUUAUUUUCGAAGUAAGAACUCGUUAAAUAUUAAAAGUAAUCCUGUGAGUGAUUUUCAUAAAGUAAAUUUAAAACCUAUAACAGGUUUUCUACAAUCAUAUAACAAAGCUAAAAAUAACAAAGUUAAAAAUGAUUCUUCUGUAAUUAUAAAAUUAACAAAAGAUCAACCUCAUGUUUUACAAAAUUUGAAUAAUACUUUAUUACAAAAACAUUUAGAAGAAAAAAAAAACAAAAGUGAUCAAAAUC
ensembl:lncRNA